rnacentral:tmRNA from 5 species
GGGGAUGAAAGAAUCGACAAAAAUUUAUUCUAAUAUAGGCAAGUCGAGUAUUCUCGAAACUCGGAAAACUUCGAGAGACAAAAUAAGUGCCAACUUAUUUGCAAGCAAACAGCUUGCUCCUGCCUACGUUUAAUUUGUAGGCCAUCUAAUUUGCUGAUUCUCGCUAAGCAAAAUUAGGUGUUAUAUCAGCGAGAUAGAUAAUCACUUCCCCUUGGGUGAUUUAUUGAAAAAAAGAGGGUGAAGACAUUAGAGUUUCUGUUUAUCUUCAAUCUAAUAUCUUGAAAAUCUUAAGAUAGACUAAACUUGUAGAAAUAUCUUGGAAAUAAUUUUUGGACAGGGAUUCACCUCCCUCAUCUCCACAA